rnacentral:rRNA from 1 species
UCAGUUUGGUUUUGGCUGGAGAUUGGUGUAACCUUGGAUUUACAUGGUAGUGGUAGCAUAAAGCAGGCAAACGGAUCCUCAAAGGAGAAUGUGGGAAUUAGAUAGGUCGGUUCUAGCUACACCAGUAGUAAGUCUUGGUUUUUAAAGAAAUUUAGAUUCAGUUUUGGGUUUUACAACCUGUUAAAUUUGUGCCAGCAACCGCGGUUAGACAAAUGGUUGGAGUUAAUUUUUGUCAGUAGAGCGAUAGGUAGAGUUGGGUAUGGAUUUAGUUAAAAUUUUAUCGUGUUAGGAUUUUUUUGCCAUUUAAGUCGCGAAGCUUAGUUUCCAGACCGGGAUUUGAUACCCCGUUAUGCUAAGUGUAAAUUAAUUUGUUAAUUGACUAGGGGACUACGACUCUCAUUAAAACUCAAAAAACUUGGCGGCAUAUCUAACUAUUUAGGGGAACCUGUCCUGUAAUUGAUGAUCCACGACUUUCUUUACCCCCUUUUGUAGGCAGCUUGUAUACUUCCGUCCAUAGUCUGCUUGUAGAGGGGUGGGCGCUAAGGUUAAAGCCACUAUGUCAGGUCAAAGUGCAGCUCAUGGGGGGGAUGAGAUGGGUUUCAUUUUUUAUCAGGAGGAUAAAUUUAAAAUUUUUUAGAACUUAAAAGUAACAGGUAGGAGAAUAUCUGUGAAUAUAGCAAUGGAAUGUGCACAAAUCGCCCGUCGCUCUCCGCGAAAGUGGAGAUAAGUCGUAACAAAGUAGGCGUACCGGAAGGUGUGCCU